GCCAUAGCUCAGAGGCAGAACAUCUGCUGUACAUGCAGAAGGUCCCAGGUACAAUUCCUGGCAUCUCCA